GAGGUUUCUCAUCCCAGUCUGGAUUCGAUUUGGAGAAUAAAUUAAUGAGGAGAAUUACAAAGUGUGAUUAGUCAUGAGUUGCCUAUCGCCUAACUCUUUAAUGAUCGAAUAAAUUAUUAAUGAGUAGAAAUUAGUAUUUAGUGGUGGUAGCUUAGAUCUCCAGUUCACCGGAUUAUAUCCUAGCUUGCUACAAUUAGCGUCCCAAACCGCAAGAGAG
rnacentral:lncRNA from 1 species